rnacentral:lncRNA from 1 species
AAGCCGCAAGUGACCCCCGAAAGCCGCAAGUGGCGCACCAACGUGGGGCAUUGCACCGGUUCGAGCGAACACGCCACGGCCGCCGCGGGCAGUGCACCGGUUGGGAGCUUUUCUGGACACUGCGAUCGGUGUCGCCGCGAGCGACAGAGCGGCGAGCGGUGCGAAAAAACCGCCACGCAGGCUGUCAGCUCCGCGGGGAGAAGCUCUCGGACCGCGCUGGUGGUGGGGCACUCGCCCUUCCACACAAGCCCGGCAGGACUGCCGCCGCGGGGACAGGCACCGAUUUCUGUCCGGCGCUGUGUCCGUGGAUGCGGACGGGACCUUCCAAACACCCGGAAGACUGUCUGCGGGGUCGGGAACCGUUGCUGCAGUGUGUUUUCUGAAGAACGGCGGUUGUCUGUUGCAGAGCCGUUCAUGGAUUUUGUGGAUCGAGUGAGAGCUUCAGUCGAGAAAAGGGUACAAAAUCCAGAGCUCCAAGAUCAGCUCACACUCGAAAUUGCCACCACAAAUGCAAAUGAAGCCUGUCAGCGAGUCAUCCUGGCCCUUCCAGCAUCGCCUCCACCCACACUCGAUCAGCUCAUUGAGGAGUGCACGAGAAAAGCUACACUAAUGACAAGGGACUCAGUGACAAAACCACGGGGGAAAGUGAUUGCAGAGGCAAUGGUAACCCCAAAAACACCAAGGGCUGCCAAGCCUCCUGCACCCAAACGCCGAUGCUAUUUCUGUAACCAGGAGGGACAUCUCAUAGGCCAGUGCCCUCUGAGGGGGAAAACGGGGGCGGGGGAGGUCUCCAAUCAGCAAAAAAACUGAUUGGGGAGCGCGGUCCUAUCCCGCGUGAUGACACAAAUGGGGUGGGCCAAGGUGUUGUGGCCAGAGCUGCUGUUCACCACAUUGUACCUAGUGUCAGCAGCCAAGCUUACACCACUGAUAAGACCGAACCUUACCGAUUGAGACUCACUAAACCUGUUCAUUUUUCUAAUCAGGACUGGCAUUUCAUCACAGCCACAGCAGAACUCCUGCCCCGCAUUCGGGACUGCGAAACUCGCAGACGGAAUGAUCUACUAAACUGCAAGUACCUUGUCAUUGGGGACACAAAGUACACUCCUAAGGAGAUAGAAAUCCCUCCUGGCAUCGUUACACUCGAUCCCAGGACCUUCUAUCUCAUGGCACGCUGUGUCCACCCUCCUCUUUUCCUGGCGGAGGGACAGAUCAUUGCGCAGGCCAUUCCAGUGCCCCAUCUUUUGUGUGAUGAUCAUGCCCUCUCAGUCUUUUACACCGAGACGCUGGGAGAGGAGAAACCCCUUGUGUGGUGUGACCUCCAGAGCGAGGGCCAUUCCGUUCUCCUUCAGGGGAUGAUGGACACCGGGGCAGAUGUG